rnacentral:rRNA from 1 species
UACGUAGGGUGCGAGCGUUACUCGGAAUUACUGGGCGUAAAGCGUGCGCAGGCGGUUCGUUAAGUCAGAUGUGAAAGCCCCGGGCUCAACCUGGGAACUGCAUUUGAAACUGGCGGGCUUGAGUGCGGCAGAGGGGGGUGGAAUUCCGCGUGUAGCAGUGAAAUGCGUAGAGAUGCGGAGGAACACCGAUGGCGAAGGCGGCCCCCUGGGCCGACACUGACGCUCAGGCACGAAAGCGUGGGGAGCAAACAGG